ACGAAGGUAACAGAAGAGACUUUUUCUUAUUAAAUUAAGAAAAAGAGCCGAAGAGGUAAGAUACUAAAUGUAUCCAAACUUUCAGGCAAAAGGACCGUUACCGGACA
rnacentral:ncRNA from 2 species